GACAGAGGCCUCAAGCGUUAGGCGGAAUCACUGGGCUUAAAGCGUGUGUAGGCGGAUCGUUAAGUGUCUUGUGAAAUCCCACGGCUCACCCGUGGAACGGCUGGGCAUACUGGCGAUCUUGGGCCAACUAGGGGCAACUGGAACAAGCGGUGGAGCGGUGAAAUGCGUAGAUAUCGCUUGGAACGCCGAAGGUGAAAGCAGGUUGCUGGGGUUGUGCCGACGCUGAGACACGAAAGCCAGGGGAGCAAACGGG
rnacentral:rRNA from 1 species